GACAGAGGGGGCUAGCGUUGUUCGGAAUUACUGGGCGUAAAGCGCGCGUAGGCGGCUUGACAAGUCAGAUGUGAAAGCCCAAGGCUUAACCUUGGAACUGCAUUUGAAACUGUCAGGCUUGAGUUCGGUAGAGGCUAGUGGAAUUCCUUGUGUAGAGGUGAAAUUCGUAGAUAUAAGGAAGAAUAUCGAUGGCGAAGGCAGCUAGCUGGGCCGAUACUGACGCUGAGGUGCGAAAGCGUGGGGAGCAAACAGG
rnacentral:rRNA from 1 species